rnacentral:rRNA from 1 species
UACGGGGGGUGCAAGCGUUGUCCGGAAUUAUUGGGCGUAAAGAGCUCGUAGGCGGUUUGUUGCGUCUAUCGUGAAAACCUGCAGCUUAACUGUGGGCGUGCGGGCGAUACGGGCAGACUGGAGUACUGCAGGGGAGACUGGAAUUCCUGGUGUAGCGGUGGAAUGCGCAGAUAUCAGGAGGAACACCGGUGGCGAAGGCGGGUCUCUGGGCAGUAACUGACGCUGAGGAGCGAAAGCGUGGGGAGCGAACAGG